UAUCAUCAUACUAUGAGGCAGGGAUUCACCCUAAGAAUUUCCUCGAUGUCUGUGAGAUACAGUCCAGUCCAUAAAACAGAGAAACAGCGAGGGCUAAUUAAAGAUGCUGAAACCAAUGCACAAACAUCUCUUUGCUCUCUUCUGCCAAGGCCACUGGAAAGAAACCCGACUUUUUAAUGAUGUCUCUUUUUUGGUACGAGAUUUAUUACAAAUACACUUCCUUUGUUUCUUCUAUAAUCAUGUCAUCGAGUGGCCCAGAGAUACAUGUCAACAGAGAAGCCUUUGCCUGGGAAGGGACCCAGAAUGUUUGGGCUUGUCAUUACGGACUCAAGUGUUUUCCUCUUAUUACAAAUAUGUGGUGUGAAUUCAGUCCUUGGGAAACACUGUAGGCCAGAGACUGGAAUGCUGGUGGACCACGGGACCAAUAAGUCAAACCCAGUGUACCGGAUCUAAAGAUGUCUCCGAGAAGUAUGGGCACAGAGACAAGACUGCCUGGAUCGUGGUAUGAUAACCACUGAGAAACACUGCUCCACUGCCAUUGUCUGAUGCCAGGGCUUGGCCCACACUGUGGACAAACAGAGGACCCCUGGAGAAUUAAAUGUCUUAUAUUGGCUAAGACAAGACCAUGUGGGCUUACUUCAUCUCAUUAUGAAUCUGCCUGGAGCAAAAGAGAAAGAACCCUGGAC